GAUAAAAUCAAAGCUAUUACAAAUGUUACAAGAGUUACAAAUGUGGAAUAUUAAACUCAAAAGAUUGAAUAUACAACCAAAGAUUGGAUAAAAUGCAUUAAAAUAUUGUAGUGAACUUAUUUAAUUAUUUUGAUAAAUUAGAAUAGUUUGCACAUUACCAGUAUCUACUGCUACAUCUGAGAGAAUGUUUUAUGUUUAAAAAGGUUAAAGACUUACUUAAGAAACACUAUGAACGAGGUAUAUUCUAUUGUAAACAAUAAAUAAAUUUACUUUAUUGUUAUUAGUUACAUAUUUUGUAUGAAUUAGUUAAUUUGUUUUUUAUAGGAGGAAAUAAAUGGCCUCGCUUUAAUGGCAAUUCAUAGAAACAUUCCUAUCACUACUGAAGAAGUAAUUGAUGAAUUUACC